rnacentral:rRNA from 1 species
AGUGAACGCUGGCGGUAGGCCUAACACAUGCAAGUCGAACGGCAGCACAGUAAUAGCUUGCUCUUACGGGUGGCGAGUGGCGGACGGGUGAGGAAUACAUCGGAAUCUACUUGUUCGUGGGGGAUAACGUAGGGAAACUUACGCUAAUACCGCAUACGACCUACGGGUGAAAGCAGGGGAUCUUCGGACCUUGCGCGAUUGAAUGACGCGAUGUCGGAUUAGCUAGUUGGCGGGGUAAAGGCCCACCAAGGCGACGAUCCGUAGCUGGUCUGAGAGGAUGAUCAGCCACACUGGAACUGAGACACGGUCCAGACUCCUACGGGAGGCAGCAGUGGGGAAUAUUGGACAAUGGGCGAAAGCCUGAUCCAGCCAUACCGCGUGGGUGAAGAAGGCCUUCGGGUUGUAAAGCCCUUUUGUUGGGAAAGAAAAGCAGCAGGUUAAUACCCCGCUGUUCUGACGGUACCAAAAGAAUAAGCACCGGCUAACUUCGUG